AUGACGACGACGACGCCAUUAGGCGUUGUUCCCCUUCUUGAAGGCGUCAUUCUGGCGUUGACCUCUCCUGGCACCAAGAACCUUUCCCGUGCAACGGUAGUCCUUGAGUCGGAGUUGCUUCGCUAUAGGGGUGCGACGAAGCUUGGCAACGAUGACACACUGCAAUCCCUUUAUAAGGGUAGCAUCGCAGUGAAGUCGAAGCUGCUGUGUCGCUUGGGCGGCAACCUCGGCAAUGAUAACAUGUGUGGCUAUUGUCUCGUCACUAUGACAAGCUUGGCCGAUGCCUUGUACCUCCAUCGUGAUAGUUUAGGCUAGGCUAGUUGUU
rnacentral:lncRNA from 1 species